rnacentral:lncRNA from 1 species
GUAAAUCCACACAACCACCCUUCCUGUGCAAUAAUCUAAACCUUCCAUCCUUCAUGUGACACAGGAUAUUGACAAAAGCUAACAUAUGCUUUGUGGAUUCAAUCUGUUGCAGACCAUCUUCAUCGAAUGCAGGCAGCCUGCCGCCCAAGUCUCCAUUAAAUACGAGACACGAAUCGUAUCAUGCCAAGGUGACCGAUGAGAAGACUGUGAUAAAUGAAGAUCAGAGAGAAGCUGUGAACGAAUAUGCUCACCUCCUGAAGCCUCCCGUCUCCUUCGCAGAGUUUAGAAGGAAAUUAUCUCUCAGUCGUAGACCAGGCUUGACUCCCCGCACUCCUCCCUCUCAACCUCGGGACACUGACGAGG